rnacentral:rRNA from 1 species
GUACUUGGUGUUACUGCGAAGGGGGGACGGAGAAGGCUAUGUUGGCCGGGCGACGGUUGUCCCGGUUUAAGCGUGUAGGCUGGUUUUCCAGGCAAAUCCGGAAAAUCAAGGCUGAGGCGUGACGACGAGGCACUACGGUGCUGAAGCAACAAAUGCCCUGCUUCCAGGAAAAGCCUCUAAGCAUCAGGUAACAUCAAAUCGUACCCCAAACCGACACAGGUGGUCAGGUAGAGAAUACCAAGGCGCUUGAGAGAACUCGGGUGAAGGAACUAGGCAAAAUGGUGCCGUAACUUCGGGAGAAGGCACGCUGACACGUAGGUGAAGUGAUUUACUCAUGGAGCUGAAGUCAGUCGAAGAUACCAGCUGGCUGCAACUGUUUAUUAAAAACACAGCACUGUGCAAACACGAAAGUGGACGUAUACGGUGUGACGCCUGCCCGGUGCCGGAAGGUUAAUUGAUGGGGUCAGCGCAAGCGAAGCUCCUGAUCGAAGCCCCGGUAAACGGCGGCCGUAACUAUAACGGUCCUAAGGUAGCGAAAUUCCUUGUCGGGUAAGUUCCGACCUGCACGAAUGGCGUAAUGAUGGCCAGGCUGUCUCCACCCGAGACUCAGUGAAAUUGAACUCGCUGUGAAGAUGCAGUGUACCCGCGGCAAGACGGAAAGACCCCGUGAACCUUUACUAUAGCUUGACACUGAACAUUGAGCCUUGAUGUGUAGGAUAGGUGGGAGGCUUUGAAGUGUGGACGCCAGUCUGCAUGGAGCCGACCUUGAAAUACCACCCUUUAAUGUUUGAUGUUCUAACGUGGACCCGUAAUCCGGGUUGCGGACAGUGUCUGGUGGGUAGUUUGACUGGGGCGGUCUCCUCCUAAAGAGUAACGGAGGAGCACGAAGGUUGGCUAAUCCUGGUCGGACAUCAGGAGGUUAGUGCAAUGGCAUAAGCCAGCUUGACUGCGAGCGUGACGGCGCGAGCAGGUGCGAAAGCAGGUCAUAGUGAUCCGGUGGUUCUGAAUGGAAGGGCCAUCGCUCAACGGAUAAAAGGUACUCCGGGGAUAACAGGCUGAUACCGCCCAAGAGUUCAUAUCGACGGCGGUGUUUGGCACCUCGAUGUCGGCUCAUCACAUCCUGGGGCUGAAGUAGGUCCCAAGGGUAUGGCUGUUCGCCAUUUAAAGUGGUACGCGAGCUGGGUUUAGAACGUCGUGAGACAGUUCGGUCCCUAUCUGCCGUGGGCGCUGGAGAACUGAGGGGGGCUGCUCCUAGUACGAGAGGACCGGAGUGGACGCAUCACUGGUGUUCGGGUUGUCAUGCCAAUGGCACUGCCCGGUAGCUAAAUGCGGAAGAGAUAAGUGCUGAAAGCAUCUAAGCACGAAACUUGCCCCGAGAUGAGUUCUCCCUGAGACUUAGAGUCUCCUGAAGGAACGUUGAAGACGACGACGUUGAUAGGCCGGGUGUGUAAGCGCAGCGAUGCGUUGAGCUAACCGGUACUAAUGAACCGUGAGGCUUAACCUU